UACGGAGGGUGCAAGCGUUAUCCGGAUUCACUGGGUUUAAAGGGUGCGUAGGUGGCUCUGUAAGUCAGUGGUGAAAUCUCCGGGCUUAACCCGGAAACUGCCAUUGAUACUAUAGGUCUUGAAUUAUCUGGAGGUCAGCGGAAUAUGUCAUGUAGCGGUGAAAUGCUUAGAUAUGACAUAGAACACCGAUAGCGAAGGCAGCUUGCUACACAGUCAUUGACACUGAGGCACGAAAGCGUGGGGAGCAAACAGG
rnacentral:rRNA from 1 species